AUUGCUUCUCAGCCUUUUGGCUAAGAUCAAGUGUA
rnacentral:snRNA from 1 species